ACGCUGGCGGCGUGCUUAACACAUGCAAGUCGAACGAUGAAGCCUAGCUUGCUAGGUGGAUUAGUGGCGAACGGGUGAGUAAUGCGUGAGUAACCUACCUUUAACUCUGGGAUAAGCCUGGGAAACUGGGUCUAAUACCGGAUACGACCAAUCUCCGCAUGGGGUGUUGGUGGAAAGCGUUAUGUAGUGGUUAUAGAUGGGCUCACGGCCUAUCAGCUUGUUGGUGAGGUAACGGCUCACCAAGGCGACGACGGGUAGCCGGCCUGAGAGGGUGACCGGCCACACUGGGACUGAGACACGGCCCAGACUCCUACGGGAGGCAGCAGUGGGGAAUAUUGCACAAUGGGCGCAAGCCUGAUGCAGCGACGCCGCGUGAGGGAUGACGGCCUUCGGGUUGUAAACCUCUGUUAGCAGGGAAGAAGAGAGAUUGACGGUACCUGCAGAGAAAGCGCCGGCUAACUACGUGCCAGCAGCCGCGGUAAUACGUUGGGCGCGAGCGUUGUCCGGAAUUAUUGGGCGUAAAGAGCUUGUAGGCGGUUUGUCGCGUCUGCUGUGAAAGGCCGGAGCUUAACUCCGUGUAUUGCAGUGGGUACGGGCAGACUAGAGUGCAGUAGGGGAGACUGGAAUUCCUGGUGUAGCGGUGGAAUGCGCAGAUAUCAGGAGGAACACCGAUGGCGAAGGCAGGUCUCUGGGCUGUAACUGACGCUGAGAAGCGAAAGCAUGGGGAGCGAACAGGAUUAGAUACCCUGGUAGUCCAUGCCGUAAACGUUGGGCACUAGGUGUGGGGGACAUUCCACGUUUUCCGCGCCGUAGCUAACGCAUUAAGUGCCCCGCCUGGGGAGUACGGCCGCAAGGCUAAAACUCAAAGAAAUUGACGGGGGCCCGCACAAGCGGCGGAGCAUGCGGA
rnacentral:rRNA from 1 species